ACGGUUCCGAGGAAGCCAAAUGGGCAUCCACACUUGAAGGCUCCGGGAAUUUCUACACACGAACCUCCAUUUAGACAGGGCAUAGACGAGCAGUAAUUUCGCUCUGUAAACAUAAUACCAAAUCAUGUUUUCAGCUGUCCCAGUCAGUCCUUCAAGAAUAAGGAACUCAUUAAGACCAAAGGCGACGCAAGCUAUGGCAUUUCGGCCAUACUACGCAUGCCGGAAACCUAGCUAACCUGUUACCCUGGAGGGGGGUAUUUCAGGAAAGAGAUGAAGACAGUGGAGACAGCGAAUUGUUGAUAUUAAAGCGUGGAAUGGCCUGUCUGGGAUCACCGCCUGUCAGGACGGCCAUCUUAUUUGUUGUUAGCUUUGGGCUUAACAAGCUGGGCAGAAAGACAACACGUUUCGCAAUCAAAAUUUGUGAGCUUGACCAGGGGUCAAAAACUAGACAGUUGCACUUUUAAGUGCAACUGUGUGUUUUAGUCUGUGACGGACGCCUUUUUUCAACACUUAAUAUGACGUCAGUCAAGCUGUGUUUUGGGUACCCGUCCAGACUGAACCUAGCUCAAAGUACCUACCCUGUCUAUUAAGUGUAUGACAGCUGAACCCAUGCGGCUUAUUAUCUUAUUGUAGUUCUCGAAGAUUCUAUAGGAUGAAAGAGAUAUACCCAUAGCAUUGCUUCCAGUCGUUCUCUAAGAUUCUAGAUAUUCCAAUUUAAGAAAUUUCUAGAGAAACUUCUAGGUUGAAAAAUACUGAAAGCCGUGGGCUAAGAUAGCGCAACCCGUGUCCACGUUUAAAACAUACGUUGACACAGAAAAAAAAAUCCCGUGGACACGGGAAAAUUCCGUUUGAUACCCGUUUGUUUAUGGCGCUUACACGUAAAACUUAAGUGUACGUUUUCCAAUGGACGGUCACAUACGAUAUAGCUGUGUAAAUUUUUUUACAUUUCAUUCAGAAUUUUAGUCAGUUGCUCAUUAUUUAGACUUUUAGGUGUCGCGAAAGCAGUAUUUUGCAAUCUAACUUACAAUCGCUAAUGUUCGACAGCUAUUUUCCAAGAAAAGCACUUCAACGGGCAGAUUGUGGCAAUUCCGGGUAUAGAUUAGUGGUUGGAGAGUGAAAACGGCCAUUCGGGCCAGGCGUAGGAAUACAUAAUUUCUAGCCAAGGGGUUUAAACGAUACUAAAAUUAAAUGGGAGGGCCUGAGGGUAGAGAAUGUCCUGACCCGUCGAUUUACAAAAAUUUCACUGUACUUUAAAGUAUGUCAACCAGCCACUUUUUUCGUGUUGUUCACAUGAAAUUACAAACAGUAUUUAACAAUAAUCAUUUUCAAAAUAGCCAUCGAACAGAUAAUUGAGUAGCAACAUUUUAUUGAAAGUAUCGUAGCAGCAUUUUAUUUAAGUAGGUUACUUGUAUCAGCCAGUGUAAAUGUUGUUUUGGGUGACACGGUUACGUGCGGGAGUGUAAAAUGGGGGCGUGUAUAACCAGAGCAUGAGAGCUGGAAGGCGAUUAUUUAUUAAUGAACUAAUUAAAUAAUUAAUUAGUCAAUAUUUUCACUUUUAUUGGCUUUUUUUUCCUUGAAAAAAGACAAACGAUUUACACUUUUAUAGUCCGGCAUUCCUUGGUAGUUUGAUAUUUUAUUAUCAUAAAUAAUAUUAUUAUUCACUACGUAUUAUAGUUCACAUAUCAGAAUAUAAUCAAAUUUUAUUUUCAAAAUCAGGUUAAUAUAUAGAUGUACGACGCAUAAAUGCAACGAAAUACGGGCAUUUAUGUAACAGAAAUCUAUGAACUGUCACAAUACUGAAUAUAAGAGUCUAACUAUUCAAUUGUCUUUCAUCUAAGUGUUUUCUCAUUUCUUGUUACCGCAGAUCUAAAAAAAAAAGGUUAUUUUAAGUUAAAAUUUUAAUGUAAUAAUGAUUUGUCUACUUAGGCUGUACAUCAACUUUUCCUUGUUUUUUUUUUCAAUAACUUAUUUCUAUAUUAUUUCUUUGGAUUUAUCUAAGAACAUUGUCAAGUUCAACAGUUUAGAUUAUUUUUAUUCGUAAGUUUAUUCACACAUUCUAUUGGGUAAUCACAAUAGGAAGGAACACUAAACCACUUAAAGGGGGCGUGCGAUAGAUAUGUUGGAGAAACGAAAUGAAAUAAAAAUAAACAAUGGCAUUUAUAACUC